UACAGAGGUCUCAAUCGUUGUUCGGAUUCAUUGGGCGUAAAGGGUGCGUAGGCGGCGCGGUAAGUCGGGUGUGAAAUCUCGGAGCUUAACUCCGAAACUGCAUUCGAUACUGCCGUGCUUGAGGACUGGAGAGGAGACUGGAAUUUACGGUGUAGCGGUGAAAUGCGUAGAUAUCGUAAGGAAGACCAGUGGCGAAGGCGGGUCUCUGGACAGUUCCUGACGCUGAGGCACGAAGGUCAGGGGAGCAAACGGG
rnacentral:rRNA from 1 species